GGAACGAACGCUGGCGGCAGGCUUAACACAUGCAAGUCGAACGCGUGUAGCAAUACACGAGUGGCGCACGGGUGAGUAACGCGUGGAUAUCUGCCUUUUGGUUCGGAAUAACCCCGGGAAACUGGGGCUAAUACCGGAUGGUUCCUACGGGAUAAAGAUUUAUCGCCAAAAGAUGAGUCCGCGUCCGAUUAGCUAGUUGGUGGGGUAAUGGCCUACCAAGGCGACGAUCGGUAGCUGGUCUGAGAGGACGAUCAGCCACACUGGGACUGAGACACGGCCCAGACUCCUACGGGAGGCAGCAGUGGGGAAUAUUGGACAAUGGGGGCAACCCCGAUCCAGCCAUGCCGCGUGAGUGAUGAAGGCCUUCGGGUUGUAAAGCUCUUUUGGCGGGGACAGUGAUGACGGUACCCGCAGAAUAAGCCCCGGCUAACUUCGUGCCAGCAGCCGC
rnacentral:rRNA from 1 species